AUUCCAGCUCCAAUAGCGUAUAUUAAAGUUGUUGCAGUUAAAAAGCUCGUAGUUGGAGUUCUGCCAGGUGCCACCUGUCCGCCCCAGUGGUGAGUACGUGGUGCGCAUUUGGCCCUUUCAAGGGGAGCGUAUUUGCACUUAAUUGUGUGGUGCGGGAUCCUUGACUUUUACUUUGAGGAAAUUAGAGUGUUCACGGCAGGCGUUUGCCCUGAAUAUAUUAGCAUGGAAUAAUGAUAUAGGAUCCACGUCCUACUUUGUUGGUUUCUAGGACGAGGAUAAUGAUUAAUAGGGAUAAUUGGGGGCAUUCGUAUUAACACGUCAGAGGUGGAAUUCUUGGAUUGUGUUACGACGAACUACUGCGAAAGCAUUUGCCAAGGAUGUUUUCAUCG
rnacentral:rRNA from 1 species